AGUAAAGAUGGGAUGGAUGGCAGA
rnacentral:miRNA from 1 species